rnacentral:rRNA from 1 species
AUUGAACGCUGGCGGCAUGCCUAACACAUGCAAGUCGAACGGUAACAGCAUAUCGGCGGCCGACGAGUGGCGGCCGGUUGAGUAAUACAGCGGAACGCGCCUGGAAGUGGUGUAUAACUACUCGAAAGAGUAGCUAAUACCGCAUGAUAUCUCAGAAUGACAGCAGGGGACCUCCGGGCCUCGCGCUACUAUGGCGGAUGAUGUCAGAUUAGGUAGUUGGUGGGAUAAAGGCUUACCAAGCCGACGAUCCGUAGCUGGCCUGAGAGGAUGAGCAGCCACACUGGAACUGAGACACGGCCCAGACUCCUACGGGAGGCAGCAGUGGGGAAUUUUGGACAAUGGGCGCAAGCCUGAUCCAGCAAUACCGCGUGGAGGAUGAAGGCCUUCGGGUUGUAAACUGCUUUUGUUGGGAACGAAAAGCCCUCUGUUAAUACACGGCUGUCAUGACGGUACCGAAAGAAUAAGCACCGGCUAACUACGUG